rnacentral:lncRNA from 1 species
UGUAUGCCAGGAAUCCACAAAAAACGGAAGUAAGAAAGAAAAUAUAUUGGAAGUCACUAAUUAUUUGUAAUCUACUGGCAGAAUAAUAAUAGUGAAACAGAAGUAAGCUCGUUAAGAAGCCAAGGCGUGCGACCUACUAUAAAGGUUCUUUCCUUAAGAUUGUUGCUUCCUAUAGAGCCUAUUAACUAAACAAGCAUAUACUUGAAAACAUUAUAAAAUUGACA